ensembl:lncRNA
CGCUGGGGAAUGGACACAUGGCUAGAUGCCUGCAAUCCCUGAUCCCAGAAUGUAUGGUGUCUGUCUGCCUACUGUCCCUGUGAGGGGGAAAAGAAGGUUUUGAAGCUGCACACUCUGCUUGGGAAGUCCUGCUGAGCCUUCAGGUUGAUUUAUUUGAUUGAGUGUCCAAGACCCGGUGUGGUUUCCAGGGCUGCUGUCAAAACUAUCUUUUCAUAUUGAGAAAUCAAUUUUCCUCCCUUGACUGAAAUGGUUUUACAAAAUGUACAUUUGAGAGAGAGCUUUAUUCUGGAGGCUACUUCUUGAAUGACAUGUUUCUUGACACAGGCUCUGUCUUGGAGGGGCUUGGAUGAGUUGGGUCUUGACUCCAUGGAUGGCCUUCUUGUCCCCGCCCCCCCCCCCCAGCCAGGUUUCUAAAGAAGGUGGUUGCAUAGUUGCACCAAGUAGCCUUUAAACAUCUCUCCUCAUUACCUAGCAGAUGGAUCGCAGACAAAUUCUGCUUUCGUUUUUUCCAAGUAGUGAUAUCUCUGAUGUAUCUUAGCAGAAAGUCCCAUGCUAAGCAAAUCUGGCCAAGGAAAUCUGACCUUUGCAGCGAGAGGCAACACUGCGGUGCCACACAUCUGCAGGAAAGUCUGGGAAAGACAGGAGCCUCCCUUUAACUUUUCUCUUCUCUCCGGCUGAGUUCCUCUGCAAUUUAUGGUAGAACUUCUUCCUACCACGUGUUUCUCCUGGAGUCUACUUCAAUGUCAGUAGUCUGUUUUCAUGGAUUCAACAAUUCACUAAUAUUCAGAUCUGGAUUCACGGUAUCUUCAUACGACUAUUAAGGAGAGAAAACCCUCUGCCAAAAGGGACAGUGCACAUAGUUUCUUUCUCUUUUUGAAACAUAUUCAGCUAUGACUGGAAGUGGAGAGACAAGAAAAGAAACGAAUGUGGCCACCCAGACUAAACCAUAAAAGUAUAGAAAGAAGGUUCCCCCCACCAUCCUUGUAAGGUGCCACAUCAAGACAAAAGCGCCUUUCAAUGAAGAUAGCUCAAAGUGGCUUGCUGAUAACAAGUACAAUCAUGACAUUGAUGACAAAGAUGAGGAGGAGGAAGAUGCUAAUUGUAAUGAUGUGAUCUGAGCGUUUGAACAAGUGCCAAGAAUGAGUUCAUUUGAUUCCUGAAACCUUCAUACUGGGAGUGUCCAGUAGUUUCAUAGCAAUUGGCAUCAUGGAUCGAUCAGUAGCAGCCAUUUCAACUGAGUGGAGAAGGAUUCUGAGGUUACAUCCAGGGUCAUCUGCAGACGAUGUGAUGACCAAUUAGUGACAUCAGAUGUAACCAAGAAAGACAGUGGGGAGCAAGAAUUUCAUAUACUCACCAUCCACGCCGUGUAAACCAUGGUUUGUUUGCAUCUCUUCUCAUUCCACGGUUGAGUCAUCUUAGCUGUUUUGUUUUGCAUUGGGGUAUUUUUGAAUGUGCCAUAGUUUGUUGGUCAGCCACUAUGUGCUAGGCACUCUACUACAUCUUAUCUCGAAGACUUGAGGAGGGCUAGGAAAGUGGCCUUUUCUUACAGUAACCUUGUGUCCAGGGCCCACCCUUCUCUUUGCUUUCUGUGGGGGCACAGUCCGUUUUUCAGUGACAGGCCUGAUGUCAUGAUGAUUUCAAGUGAUUUGGCCCAAAGACAACACCUACUCCCUGAACA